UACGAAGGGUGCAAGCGUUAAUCGGAAUUACUGGGCGUAAAGCGCGCGUAGGUGGUUCAGUAAGUUGGAUGUGAAAUCCCCGGGCUCAACCUGGGAACUGCUUUCAAAACUGCUGAGCUAGAGUAUGGUAGAGGGUGGUGGAAUUUCCUGUGUAGCGGUGAAAUGCGUAGAUAUAGGAAGGAACACCAGUGGCGAAGGCGACCACCUGGACUGAUACUGACACUGAGGUGCGAAAGCGUGGGGAGCAAACAGG
rnacentral:rRNA from 1 species